CAUCGCUCCUUGAAAAAUUAUUAUAAGGAGUACUGCCUGCCCGGUGAUUCACAGAAUUUAACGGCCGCGGUAUCUUGACCGUGCAAAGGUAGCAUAAUAAUUUGCUCUAUAAUUGAGGGCUAGUAUGAAUGGCAAGACGAGAAUUUAACUGUCUCCCUUCUAAAAAAAGAAAUUAAUAUAUUAGUGAAGAAGCUAAUAUUUAAACGUAAGACGAGAAGACCCUGUCGAGCUUAAGAAAAUUUUUAUAAUAAAUUUUUAAAAAAUAAAAUAUUAUUAAAAAUUUUUUUUAAUAAAAAUAAUCUUUGGUUGGGGCAACCACGAAGAAAAAAUAACCUUCGAUAAAAAAAAGAAAUAAACAAAUUAAAAAAAGAAGACUUUUAAACAAAUCCGGAAAUUCCGAAUUAGAAAAAAGUUACCGCAGGGAUAACAGCGUUAUUCUCUUUGAGAGUUCAUAUUGACAAGAGAGUUUGCGACCUCGAUGUUGGAUCGAGGCACCCAAGAGAUGCAGAAGUCUCUAAAGGUAGGUCUGUUCGACCUUUAAAGCCUUACGUGA
rnacentral:rRNA from 1 species